UAGAGUUGAGUUUGAUGUUAAACGUGUGUUGUCAAAAUUUUUAAAAUUCUUUGUUCAAAUUAAUUUUUAAUCGUGAUCCUUGAAUUUAUUUUUGAAAAGCCAUGCAUCUGCAUUCGGUUUUUAAAUUAAUAUUUUUCUAACUUGUUUUAUUUUUCUGUUUUUUUUCAGCUCUAAGUUUUACGAUGUUUUUUUAGUUUGUUUUUUUU
rnacentral:lncRNA from 1 species